CCUACGGGGGGCAGCAGUGGGGAAUAUUGGACAAUGGGGGGAACCCUGAUCCAGCCAUGCCGCGUGUGUGAAGAAGGCCCUCGGGUUGUAAAGCACUUUCAGUGAGGAAGAACGCCUGGUGGUUAAUACCCAUCAGGAAAGACAUCACUCACAGAAGAAGCACCGGCUAACUCCGUGCCAGCAGCCGCGGUAAUACGGAGGGUGCGAGCGUUAAUCGGAAUUACUGGGCGUAAAGCGCGCGUAGGUGGCUUGAUAAGCCGGUUGUGAAAGCCCCGGGCUCAACCUGGGAACGGCAUCCGGAACUGUCAAGCUAGAGUGCAGGAGAGGAAGGUAGAAUUCCCGGUGUAGCGGUGAAACGCGUAGAGAUCGGGAGGAAUACCAGUGGCGAAGGCGGCCUUCUGGACUGACACUGACACUGAGGUGCGAAAGCGUGGGUAGCAAACAGGAUUAGAUACCCCUGUAGUC
rnacentral:rRNA from 1 species